UAUUUUGGUUGUGCUGUGAGUUAAAGAGAACCACUGCCCUAAAGAACAACUCUAUCGACAACGAAAAAGCUGUGACGGUAGAACUGAAGAUGAUGUGAAGGAUUUUGUCUGGUUCAUUUGGAGUGCAUUUGAAGGGUGAAAAAGAAGACAAAGAGGAAGCUUGAGAGACUCGAGUCUGGAUACUAGCCAUGGAGGAGGAUUAUAUGAAGAGGAGCCACCCUGAUGUCAUAAUGCAGCAGCAUACCAGCAAUGUGGAUAAGGGCUACUCCGAGAGCAAGCGCGCCGAUUCGGGGCCAAACGGCUGCAUGCGGUGCUGCAUGAGUACCAAGAGGUGCCUGAUGAGCCCAGAAUGUGGCAGAGCGCUCAGCAUCGCUAACGUCAUCGCUAUGUGUGGCAUGUGUAUCCGCAUGUGGACGUAGAUUUCUUCUGCUUCUGAGUCAAGAACAGUUUGUCUCCUGGCGGCUGCCGUCCUGAACUAAAAACAAUAGGAGGCAUCAUGAAUUAUGGAAUCUCUACUAAGCAGCCAUUAUAACAUACCCGAUUGAACUCCACCCUAUUUUAUCACCUCAAUCAUUAAAUAAAUAUCUUUUGAGUCAUAUAUCUCUGACAACAGCAUAUCUGUAAGUAAACAUAUUAUUAAACAGGAGAAAGGGUAAUGAAAAUGUAACGUAUUAAAAAAAGACUCUCUGAAUAGAUUAAUAACGCAUUGAUUUUUCAUGUAAAAAUAGUGUCAUGGAUUUUCCAUGGAUGGCAUCUUUAGGUGUCUGUUUUUCCUCAGCUGCUACUGUAUGUCCUGGAAUGUGUAGCAGUGAGACGUGACCGAGUGCCUGCAGGUGAACAAUCAGAAAAUCCUAGACCUUGAUUUUUACACUCCACUACUUUGCGCCUCAACAAAAACCCUGGGUAUUAGAUACUUUUAGCUCAGAACAAGGCUGUGAAAAUUGACUUUUCUACUACAUUCUGCUACAGAUUAUUCUGCGCCUCUUUACGAUUGUCAUCUGCAGCUGAAGUAAUUCAAUUAAAAAGACUGGUGGUACUGGAGGCCAUAUUGUUGACAAUUUUGUAAUGUUUUUCUUAAUUGCUUUAAAUCACUUACGUAAUUUAAUCAUUUGAAGUGUCUUUCCCCACAAUUGUAAUGCUUUUCAUUUGCAUAUGAGUAAUGGAGAACAGUUGCCUUCUUGGUAUUCUCAACACGUAACCUUACGUAUUCUAUUAUCCUCAGAACCGAUUAGAAAUUACUAUCAGUUUCGGUGAACUAAAACACUUGUCAUUUUUCGAAAUGUUUGUAUGUAGCCCGAGCAAAAUUUCACCAAAAAAAAAAGGUGACAUCUCUGACUUUGAUUUACCGCUCUCUGUUCUUAAAAAUACAAAGAAAACAUGAUACAUAUCUUUGUCUUAUCUGCAGUUUUUGAAUUAUGUACUGUACAUGCAAGCAAAACAGCCGCAUGAUAAACGUAUUCAGGUUAAGUUCACACAGUCUCUGCCUAGUUGAUCUAGCAAGGUAUUGAAGGACAAAGCAUGAAAGUCACCCAAAAUUGUGAUGAAAUACCAGUAGCUAAUAUAAGAGCAUUUAUAUCAUGGUCUGUCUGAAUACUCGAGUCUGAUUGGCUGGAAAGUGUGCGUUCAACCCGUAUAAUGAACCGGUGGUACCAUUCAGUUUAAUCACCGUUCUAAAUGAAUGCGUAGCCUAUAAACAACUGUGACCAUAGUAACAUACAGUUACUGUACACUUGCAUACAGAGAGAGACAGCUAUUUAAUGGGGAGAAUUCAGUUAUUUUCGUAAUGGUGUUCACAGCACCAUUAUUAGUAGAGAUGCAGGUAAUUCACACACGCACCAUCUUUCUCUCUCGCUCUCUCGGUCUCUCUCUAAUAACUAUUUGUUAUAAUUCAUUCAAAAUAAAUGUAAUUUUAUCAUGCUA